AAAGUUUUGGAAAUGCAAAGACCAUCUUAAAUGACAACUCUAGCCGCUUUGGAAAGUUCUUGCGUAUCCACCUGAGACACAGAUUUAUGGUGGGUACAUCCAUCUCUCAGUACCUUUUGGAGAAGUCUAGAGUUGUUUUUCAGGGUCGUGGUGAGAGGAGCUUCCAUGUGUUUUAUGAGCUGCUGGCCGGACUGUCAGUAGGACUGAAAGAAGAACUUUAUCUGCAAGAGGCAGAGACUUACUUUUAUCUAA